UGGCAGUAAGCACUGUCUUAGGACACCUUUAGAAUAACCAUGAAAUAAUAAUACCCUCUCUGAGCCAU